rnacentral:rRNA from 1 species
AUUGAACGCUGGCGGCCGGCUUAACACAUGCAAGUCGAGCGAGAGGAGGACGGGUGAGUAAUGUCUGGGAAACUGCCUGCUGGAGGGGGAUAACUACUGGAAACGGUAGCUAAUACCGCAUAACAUCCGAUUGGCCCAGAUGUGAUUAGCUAGUAGGUGGGGUAAUGGCACACCUAGGCGACGAUCCCUAGCUGGUCUUAGAGGAUGACCAGCCACACUGGAACUGAGACACGGUCCAGACUCCUACGGGAGGCAGCAGUGGGGAAUAUUGCACAAUGGGCGCAAGCCUGAUGCAGCCAUGCCGCGUGUUUGAAGAAGGCCUUCGGGUUGUAAAGCACUUUCAGCGAGGAGGCGUUACUCGCAGAAGAAGCACCGGCUAACUCCGUGCCAGCCGCCGCGGUAAUUC